AUUGAACGCUGGCGGCAUGCCUUACACAUGCAAGUCGAACGGCAGCACGGGAGCAAUCCUGGUGGCGAGUGGCGAACGGGUGAGUAAAGUAUCGGAACGUGCCCAGUCGUGGGGGAUAACGUAGCGAAAGUUACGCUAAUACCGCAUACGAUCUAUGGAUGAAAGCGGGGGAUCGCAAGACCUCGCGCGAUUGGAGCGGCCGAUAUCAGAUUAGGUAGUUGGUGGGGUAAAGGCUCACCAAGCCGACGAUCUGUAGCUGGUCUGAGAGGACGACCAGCCACACUGGGACGGAGACACGGCCCAGGCUCCUACGGGAGGCAGCAGGGGGGAAUUUUGGACAAUGGGCGAAAGCCUGGUCCAGCCAUGCCGCGUGCAGGAUGAAGGCCUUCGGGUUGUAAACUGCUUUUGUACGGAACGAAAAGGUUUGGGCUAAUAAGCUGAGCUCAUGACGGUACCGUAAGAAUAAGCACCGGCUAACUACGUGCCAGCCGCCGCGGUAA
rnacentral:rRNA from 1 species